rnacentral:rRNA from 1 species
CCAGCCCGCUCAGAACUCAAAGGAAUUGACGGGGCCGCACAAGCGGUGGAGCAUGUGGUUAAUUCGAUGAUACGCGAGGAACCUUACCUGGGCUCAAAUGUAUGUUGACGUAUUCUGAAAGGGAUACUUCUUCGGACAAUAUACAAGGUGCUGCAUGGUUGUCGUCAGCUCGUGCCGUGAGGUGUCGGGUUAAGUCCCAUAACGAGCGCAACCCCUAUCAUUAGUUGCCAUCAGGUCAAGCUGGGGACUCUAAUGAAACUGCCUACGCAAGUAGUGAGGAAGGUGGGGAUGACGUCAAGUCAUCAUGGCCCUUACGGCCUGGGCUACACACGUGCUACAAUGGUCGGUACAAAGGGUUGCCAAGCCGCGAGGUGGAGCUAAUCCCAUAAAACCGAUCGUAGUCCGGAUCGCAGUCUGCAACUCGACUGCGUGAAGUCGGAAUCGCUAGUAAUCGUGAAUCAGAAUGUCACGGUGAAUACGUUCCCGGGCCUU